GAUGAGAGGGGAACUCAUCGAGGGGUGGGGGGACUGGUACAAAAUGUCACACGAAAGAAGAAGAAAGAUGCACCAUCACAGAGAACAUUUGGACACCACUACAGCAUCUGCACAGGGUCUGUUCCAAUUGAGAGGCAAAACUGGAUUACAUUUAUUUUUGGACCAUUGACUUGUUUUGAGCAAUGCCGGAUUUAUCAAGGAAACAGUCUUGGCAUAACCAGCAGGAUCAGAUGACACAGGCAGACUCCUCACUGGCCGCAGCAUUGUGUAACACCAGCCAGUGCUGUUGUUUAUCAUCGGGGGAGACGUCCUGUCCUGUUCUGGAGCCGCACAAACAGCCACGAUAAAGAAUGCUGCGCGCUUUGAUAAAUGUUAAGAGAAGAAUGAUCAUUUGGACCAAAUUUGAAUAGACAAAUAUUUUUAAAAAUGCAGAUACAGCAGGGUGUGUCUCUCUCUCUCUCUCUCUCUCAUCGGCCCCAUCUGUGAAUAAGCGUCUAGGCAAAGUGUUUCAUGGUCAGAGGAGGUGUCGAGGGAUUAAUGUGCAAGAUGGACAGUGAGGGUGUUGGGCAGAGAAGUGCUGAGAGUGUAAAGUAGAUGUUUGAACCUGACAGGGGGGUGAAAUGAAGAAUGAUAGGGUGUCACAGAGACAUUGGUGGUGAGAGAGUAGGCUGAUCAGAGACGCCCAAAUGUUUAGACAAAGCUACAGACACCUCUGCUGUAAUUACACAAACUUGAUGUGUGUAGUGUAGCUUUGGAAUUGAGGUCAAAUGAAAACGAAGGCUGCACAGAUACUAAAGUAGAAAACAAUGUUAUUCCACAUUUGUUGAUGUUUUUCCUUUAAAAGAAUGCCACGGAGAGAGCUGGUAAAUGGCACAAAGAACCACCCACUUGCAGAAGCAUGUCCACAAGAUAUGAAUACGUGGUCGUGUUUACUACAGCACAGGACAUUUUAUUCUCCUCUCGAGCCGCCACUGCCCCGGAAGAGCACAACCCUCAGCCAAGACGCAGCACAUCGCCGCCCUCCCUCCUUUCCCUCCCCUGCUCCUUAUGUUUACAGGAAGCAGCUGAAGGGAGAACACCUUACAUGGAACCUGUCAAGUCUCACUCAUCUUAUCUAUGUUUUCUUAGGUUCACCGUGUCCACGCCAACACCGCUCCUCCAGCUGCGGACGAUGGCAUGACAGCUCUUAGUCACACUAAAGCAACAAAACAGCGCAUUUGAAACAUUACAGUCCAAAAACAAAACAAAUUGCCGUGUGACUGAUAACAAUAUUUCGGCUCAGAUGAACAAAUUGGAGUUGGAUAUGAAUUGCCGCUGACUGUAGAAAGCCUGACAUGUUCAAAUAAAACCUGUUGCUAGUGGCAACAGCACAGAGAUAUAGUAGAUCACGAUGACACUGUGGACAUGAUUAACACCAAGUCUCUUCAAAGCCAUUAAGACGAAGCACAUAUGGAUGUUCUGAUUUUGUUGGGUUAAAAAAAACAAAAACAUUGCAGCUAAAAUCAUCAGGGUUAAAACGGAGAUCUGAAGUCGUGAAGAAACAAAACUCAAAAGUGUCUGAAUAUUGACUUCCUCACCUUACCUCUCUUUCAUUCUGUCUCUCUGCCAUUAGUAUACAUUUUAAAUCUUUAAGUCCCUGACACAAGUGCAGAACUUUUCCCUGUGGUGGUGCAAAUGUUCAGGUUUUCCUUUAUUAUACACAAAUGUCUAUUGCUGUACAUAUGUGUUUCUAACACUGUAAACACGAGGCACUGAAACAUUGAGCAGAUCUCUGUGCCUGGUACUGGUGACCCACUUAAUGCCAGAUCAUUUCUUUUCUUUUGAAGGGACUGUGAUGCCCGUUUGUCUUUGUUAUGACCCCCCCGGUAACAGACACAGAUCCCUUCUCUGAAGUCCCUCAAAAAGACAUAACUACAUCAAACAACUUGUUAUGAAAUGUUAAUCUCUGUGUGUGUGCUGAUUGUGUUUUAAACGUGUAUGAUGUGACAGUGAGGGAAAAGUGGUCAGACUUUAUAUAUACACUUAAAUGUAUUAGGGGGGGGAAAAAUAAAGGCUUGGCCUGCACUAAUCUAACACUAACGUCAGCUUAGUUCCUGUAGCCAGGCAGCAGCUCAAGCUGUGGAAGUAGCUGCGUCUCAGCAGCACAACAGAGCCUGGAUCCUGUAUCCUGCACCAACAUGACGCCCAGUCUGCUUUAAUGCACAGCCACUGCUGAUUCAGGAUCUCUCUCCAAAGAGACUGUACGAACAACCUUUGACUACUUGAAUCAACUCUGACCAGAAUGACAUCAAGAAGAAAAACAUUUUUCUUUUUUUAAAUAAAAAGGUCAGAAACGUGAUGAAAGAGGAGAUGCAGAGACACAGACACGCCUGGAAGAAGUUGCCCUCCAUACUGAACCUAAUCAAUGUCCGAAACAGUGUAGUACGCAUUACUGAUGGAAAGCUGUUUGAGAUUUAUUUCUGUCUCGUCCUGUGUGUUUGUCAUUAAAAGGCUUAAAUUAUUAAAUUGGUUUUAGCACGCUCAGGAAAACCUGAAAACAACAGUGUUUUUGUUCCUAAUCUUUCUCUGUGUUGUAAGUCCAUUGUGAGAACUUUUCUUUCUUUGCGGGCACGCUCUGUGUGACGUUGUGUGUUUUGCUUCACUGUACGUGUCACUAAAAUGCAGACAGGACCUUGAAGAGAAAGGUACUGGAAUAAAAACGCUUGAUUGUGUGUCUAUU